CCAGUGCGCGGAAUGGAGUCAUCUGAGGGAGACACACAAGUGCGCUUUGCUCCUUAAUAUCUGAACGUAUUAUAAAGCGGCUAAAGCAUGGAGUACCACGGGGCGGAAUUAAACGCGUUUUAUCAAGUUUUGCGCCCGGAGGCCUGAUUAUAAAAAUGUAAAUGACCUUCAAGACAACACAUAUAGAUAUUAACUUUGUUAUUUCCUUCAGUUCUACAUGAAUAAUGUUUUAUUCCGUUUGGGAUGACUGUAUGCCUGACCAAGUGGGUAAAUUGUUAAACACAUGACCAAUGAUGUUGUGUUUCUUUGGUGGUCAUACAUACAAAACUGUGGUAAAGGAGGACGAAUGAACACUUGAGAAGGCUGCACUAGAAGGAACAGUGCAACAAGGUGAAGUUGACAUUCUGUAAGGAAAACAACUAUUAUGGGACGCAGUGAGAAAGAUGAUGAUGAGUAUGUUAUGUUAUGUAAUGAGGAACAAGACCAUGUAAGGAUAAGACAUAGGGUGUUAUUAAAACAUAAUAAUUAUUGUAAUCUGUCACCCAAUAAGAUGUUGAUUUUCUUUGUUCUCUACAAUGUACAUAAUUCGUGAAUGUAACCAGAUAUACUACUGUUUUUCAUUUCAAUCCUCAUAGCACUCUGAGGUAAGAUAUGGUACAGUAGAAUAAGAGAGGCUACCCAGGCUCUUGAUGAUUGAAUUAUAUAUUUGCUUGAGCAUAUUCAAGUGUCAGCAGUGGUUUCUCGUUUUGCAUAUUCAAGUGUCAGCAGUGGUUUCUCGUUUUGCAACAUAUUUUUGGCAUCCCUGGGUGGGCUCCAACAUCUCAGUGGAGGUGAUGGCCUGAAAUAAAGAUUAAAGGAACACACAACUACAAAUUGGAAAAGAGUCAGAUUUUUCUCAGCAACUGAGACACUCUCCUGAACUUCAGCGGCUGCCCCACUGAGUGAUGGAGCCAUAAAUUCAGUCAGAGAGGUUGUCUUUGUAUCCACAGAUAACGGCACCUCCUCCUUACCCUCACGAGCGUCCAGAGCCUUCAUCCCUGUCAUCUACAGUCAGCUCGCUGUCUCCCUCAGCACCUCCAGCCCCCUUUAUGUCUUAACCAAAAACUGAUGAGGACUAAGAAACCAUGGGCGUAGAUUAACAGAAACUUGCUAAAGAAUUACUGACAUUAUCAACGGGCAGUGACAACAUGGAACCAGAAAAGCCAGCGACAUCUGGUGAGGGUCCAACUAAGUCAGGUACCACCAGGUCAAACUUCCAGUAUCAAUCCUCUCAGGGGCCCCUGCUACAUAUGCCCUGAACCAAUUGCCAAACCUGCGGGCUGUACAGACUAUCAAGGGUGGAGGGGUUCAUCCCCAAGGCAUGUAUGUUCACAGGCCACUCAAACUGUCAUUUUGAAACUGUAACUGACAUUACAAGUCCCAAGCUUAACUUUGCACAAUGCAAAGGACUUAAAGGAAUAAAGGAAACUCUCAAUGAUAUGGUCAGACUGCACAACCAGGAGAGAACUAAACUCAUGGCUAGUCUUUGAGCUCAAGUGGGAACAACUCUGACGAAGCAUGCAACACCCAUGGGAUCCAGCAGCAAAUACAUAUCCAAAUAGCUGUCCCACCAACUGGACACACCUGAUUUAAUCUGGAAUCUGGGAUACUUUCCUGGUAACCAGAGACUGGCAUAAAGUCAGUAAUUGCCUACACAGGACUGGAGAAACAGGGGAGGAAUUCAUUGACCUUUAACUGCAGCUGUGAACAAUCACAACUGGUUAGCGAUGAGGACAAAAAAGAAUACAUAAGGCAAGUCUUGGCUCAGAGAUUGGAUAAGAAGAUUGGUGUCAUGGCAAAGAGUUCCUGCACUGGCUGGCAAAACAAAGACUAUGAUCUGGUGGCUCAUGCUAUCCAUGCUUAAACAGAUAAACAGAGCAAGGCUCAAAACUCCCUUUAGAUGGCACAGCUUCAGUUUUAUCAAAGCGAAACACAGAAUGGAAGGGGAUCUGGUGAUUUUCGUGGAGGAUUUGGGUGAGGCCAAGUUCAAAAUCAUGGUAGAGGACGUGGUCGUUUUCAAGGUAGGGGCACUUAUGUUGCCUGUUUUCAUUGUGGCCAGCUAGGCCAUCUUAUUAAAAUUGUCCUCAACUGUCAAAUAAUCAAGAACAACAGGUUCUCAAAUUUUCUGUGGCAGCUCCAAAUCAGGAUAGGAUGAGGUGAGGGAACAGACUGCCUUAUAUCAAAAUUUACAGUUAACCACUGACUCUAAAAAAGAGCCAUUCAUUAAAUUAACUGUUAAAGGUAAACUAAUUCCCUUUCCAGUAGAUAUAGGAGCCACAUGUUCAGUGUUGUCUAAAACACUGUGUAGGAUUGUAAGGGAACAGGCAGCAAGGAAACCAAAAAACCAUGAGCCCCACCCACAGACUUUGUGGAGCCAAGUUAAUUACAGCUUCUUUACUGAUUGCUGGAUUUCAACUGUCCUGUCAACAAUUGACAAGUGAUAGGACAUCCCUGACAAGAACCCUCUCAACCAAGAGGAGCCCUGUCAAGCCUACUGAUUUAGGCCAUUGGCCAAGACCAGAUGGCUGGUCCACAGGAUAAGACCCAAGGACCUUCAGCCAUAAAUCUGCAAACUUAAGGCCAAAAAGGAGGGUGACUCACCCAGGGAGUCCUCAAGAAAGGCUUAACACAGGCUGAGGACUGUAAUGAGACCUUUGUUCUUCACAAAGUUCACCACCAUUCACACAUUCCACAGAACCCAGCUUUAACAAAUGCAUCAAGUUACCUUCCAUCUCCUGUAAGGCCAAUGACUUUUGGCCUUAAUGAUGCACCAUAGUUUGAAAAACUUGUUGCCUUUUUAAUGUCAUUCCUUAUAUGUAUCAUGCCUAUAGCCACCAGGUCAUUGUGAUGCUUUUGAUCAUUUAACAGGCAUCAAAGUGUUAAUGAGUCUAUCAAUAACAGCAGGUAUGUGAUGUUUGGUAUGUGUGUGUUCGCUAUUGAAUUUCCUAAGGGUUGGUAUAAUGUGAAUUCGAGUACAAUGUAUUAUAUGCAUGUUACCAUAUUCCUGGCCAAAGUUCUAACUUUACCUUGGAAAGUUAGAAAGAGCGCAUAACUCAGAGGCCAGUAUGCUAAUUAGUGUCAGAGGAGGAGAAUGCAGUUUGCUGAUUGGAGCAAGUACUUUGGGGUCAUCCCAACUGGAAAGGGUUAAACCCCCUGACACAAAGGAAAUCCUGAGUCUCUUCCAACAACAUCACCAGGAGAUCUCUCCACUAAGAGCUCCACGGGUCUCAUCCAUCCACAACUCAGGAGUCUCUUCCAACAUCUGCAGGAAUUCUCUUCCAUCAACAUCUUCAGGGAGCUCUCUUCUACAAACAUCUUCAGGAGUCUCUUCCAACAAGUCACCAGGAGUUCUCAUCAACCAAGAGCUUCAGAAGUUCUCAUUCCUUGACACCACAAGGAGAUCAUGCUUGUUCUGAGCCUCAGCCAAGUCUGUAACGACCGGUUCGUGUGAAGCCUCCCGACUCCAGUCGUAAUAGUACCAAAGAACUGCUGCAAUCCGUAAACCAAAAGCACCCUUCCUGCAAUCCGCCUCUGAGACUCCGCCGGGUACAUGCCUCAUUCCAGUCAUUAUCCUGAUUGGGCUUCCAAGACGCAUGUAAACGCAAGUACAGUGCCUCCAGAUUCUAGCUGAACUGGUGAAUUUAAUGUAAAGUUUAAAGCCCUUCUAAAUGAAACAAUGGUUAAACUGAUAAGUUAAUGGUUCGUUCCGGUCUUGGUCUGAGAAACAGCAUACACUCCUAGAAACUCGGGACUUCAUUCAUUCUCUGUUCAAAACUCUUCUCUGUUUGACCUUUAUGUGUGUGCAUCCAUGUGUUUGUGUUAGAUUAGUUUCUGUGUUUUCGAAUAGUAAUAAAGUCUCAUCUGAUUUUAAAGGCAAGUGUCUCUGUGCUUAUAAUUUAUUGCCUUAAACUGCCGAUCUUGUUACUGUGGUCUCGGUAUAGUGUUUUCGCUAUAUUUAGGAUAUUAUUGCUGGUGGCAAUUAACAAAUAUACUAAUUUCAGCUUAUCACUGGAUGAAUAGUUGUUCAGCUAUUAAAAUGUUAAGUUCGCAGAAUUUCCCGUUCUGAGCUGAUCUGCUAAUCUCCUACAUAUUUUGGUGGAGAAUGCAGGCAGCUUAAUCUAAACAUCUAAUUUCCCACAUGUGACAUUAAGUUCUGAUUCAGUUAUUACUGUAGGAUCAUCAGGGCUUCGUGUGGUUGAACCAUUUAGCCAGCCAUUAGCCACUAAACAAGGAACUAAGAUGAUUAAUCAGGUUGUCCAGUUAACCUUAUGGGUAAGACUUAUUAACAAGAUUCAGCAUCCAAACUUCAUGUCAAGGUAGAUGUACAUAAUCAUGAAAUUGGUCUGUUUUCACUGUGUCAUCCUGACCCAUGUUUUUACUCAUGGAAUGUCACAGACUGUGCUGUUUAUCAGUUUCUGUAUUCUGGGAUGAAUACCAAAGGUUGGGAAAUGCCUGAGUUUUUGCAUUGUACUAAUCUGUUCCUCCAGAUUAGUGGUCCUGAGGCCACUUAUGAGAAUGAAUGGUUUCCAGGACCUCUAAAUGAAACUCUAACAAUUAGCAACAUAUUUCAGAGCAAUCAAUUUAUAGGCAUGUCGAUACUGUGAGGAGCAAACUCUAUUUAGGAGGAGCAAACUCUAUUUAGAGCUGAGGAAAGUGUGCCUCAUAUCUCAAUGGCUAAAAAGGUAGGCAGUUGGAAGGAAGUUGGAAAAUGGGUUAAAACUGCUCUAACAUGUACUGAUUGGAUAGAUAGAUUCAGGGCCGGCACUAGCUAUAGGCAGAGCAGGCAAUUGCCUAGGGCCUCAAGGCUUGAGGGCGGGGCCUCCAUAACCGUAACAAACCUAUACUCAAAAGAAACAAAGAAAGCACAGCUCGUGAUGCAGGUAUUUGAGCUGUCAUCAUGUAUUUUUGAUUGUAAAUGUAUAUUAAAAUAAACGGAGCCUUAUUCUGCCGAUUAGCGUCAGCGCCAUUUGAAGAUGGAUCAUUAUUUGCAGCCGGUUUAUUCUCAGUUCAAAACAGCGCGAGCGCCGUGACACGUUAAAUUCAUGUAUGACGCUUUGAAUCCGAGCUGAUCGACUGUACAGUGAAUCAGUAGGAGCUGAUUUUCAAAAUACUAAAGAAAAUGUAAAAGUUUAAUAACAACAGCAAUCGCAGCUAGGCUAGACCAUUGUUUAUUAUUUCAAAAAAGUACCUCAACUGUCUGUAUAAAUUCCGUUGAUGUUUACAUUAUCAUAAUAACCUGCUUCAUACUUUUUUUUAGUUUUCAAAUAAGUUGUGCUGUUGUAUUUACUGAAUAAAUACAGUUUAAGCAUACAAAUACAAUUUAAGUUAACUAUUCUAAAUGCAAUAGAUAAUAUGACAGUCUAGCCUAUAUUGCUUCAGUAAGAGGGGGAAAUUGUGUCCAUCUCCAGCUAGAAAAAUGACAUCUUACCCUAGGCAAAAAUAUUUGUUAUCCCAAAUAGUGGGUAAGUGUGUUACUGUAAAUAAAUUACUGAGAAGAAGAGCUGGUCCAGAUGACCUUUCAUAUUUUUUUAGUGUUGACCUUAGUUAAAGUUUAAUUAAUAUGCACAUUUAAGUAAAUAUAUACAAGUAAUGAUAACAGGUUUUGUAUAAAUAAAAAGGCUAGAAAUUUUAUUUGUUUCAAGUGCUUUUUAUUUAUUCUGAAAUGUGCAGGGAAGGAGGCCAGGGGGCCUCCAAAUGUCUGGAACCGGCCCUGGAUAGAUUAACCCAGACAGCAUAAUCUCCAUUUCCAAGUUGCCUAAACCAUGCACCAAGAAGCAGGUUAUGUCCCUUCUUGGCAUGAUGAAUUAUUAUCCUGUUUGGAUACCUGAUUAUUUCACAACCAUUUUCAAAUUUGGCUCACAAACAUCCUCUUCAAGUGACUGACGCAGUCACUCAGACAGAGGAGGCUACGGCUGCUUUUGUGUGCCUUAAAACUGCUGGGGCUAGUUCUCCAUGCUUACGGAAGACUGAUUCUGACUAUUUCAAGCCAUGCAGGUUAUAUUUACAUGUCUGGUGUCAUAAAACCUUAUCACGUGGUUAAAAAUGGAAACCCGUUGCAUAUUAUUCUAAACAUCUUGAUUACUUAAUGCAUGGACAUCCACCCUGUAUGAGAUCUGACAGCUGCCACAGAAGCUGUCCUUUGUGCUUCUAAUUUAGUUGCUAUGCAUGACCUCAAGGUACAUGUGCCACAUGAUGUGCAUAAAAUUAUUACUAGCACUAGAACUAUGCAUUUGCCUAAUGCUAGACUGCUUACAAUCCAUAACAUGUUGUUUACUCUACAAAAAAUUACCAUAUACAGGUGUAUCAUUCUAAACCCAGCCACCCUACUCCCUACACUCGAAGAUGGUGUACCACACCCAGACCUGACUUGACUGAUGUUCCUAAUUUGAAUACUGAUUGUAUUUAUUUUGUUGAUGGUUCUAGUCUGAGACUGUCUCAUGGUUCACCUUCAUCUGCAUAUGCUGUAUUUGAUCAAUACUCUGUCACUGAGACUAUUCUUACAGAGGGUGAAACAUUGGCUGAUUUUACUGAGAGUAAUUAUGCUUUUGUAUGACACUGGGGUGUCGUAUGAACACCGACGGUUUCUCUCCUUGUCAGGCUAACCAAUUUCUCACAAAGUCCUGAUCAUAAAUUUGUUAGAAGCUGUCAAACUGCCUAAAUCUGUUUCAGUAUGUAAGUGCAAGGCACACACAUGAGAUUGGAAUUUAUUGAAUUUUCCCCUGUUCAAGGAUACAGUUAUUGCUUAAUGAUUGUUGAGAUGUUUUCAAAAUAUCCUGAAUGUUUUCCUUACAGGAAACAGGAUGCACUCACAGUGGCCGAACAACUGGUAAGUAAUACCUUGUUGGGGGAUCCCUAAGAAACUUUCUUCACAAAAUGGAACUCCGUUUGUUAAUAAUCACAUACCUGUUUGAAAAAUUAAACUUUGACUUAAAACAGCAUUGUGCCGACCACUGCCACUCAGCAGGGGCUGUGGAAAGAUUGAAUCAGACAGUGAAGCUAAAAUGAUCUAAAAUCAUGACAGAUACAGGCCUUAAUUGGGUUCAAGCACUAUAAUUGGUGCUCAUAUACCUUAGGGGAUGGGCAAAUAGACAAACAGGGCUAAGCCCUCUGGAAGUUUUUACAGGUUUCCUAAUGAGAUUAACUGCUUCUCUUCCUUUUUACGUCACCUCAGGUAGAAGGAUCCCUGCGGAUGAUCAAUUAGCCAAAUAUAUAUCUGAAUUGUGCAAAACUUUCGAGCAUGUAUGUUCACAGGUGAAAGAGGUGUUACCCACACCACUUGAAAGGUACCUACACAAUCUGAAAGUUGGAGACUGGGUGAUAGUGAAGGAGCAUAGAAGAAAAGCUUAGCACAGACCAAUGUGGUAUGGACCUUGGAGACUUCUACUGAUGACCUCAACAGCUGCCAGGGUCGCUGAAACAGACACCUGGGUCCAUUGCUCCCACUGUCGGAAAGAAAACUCAUCAGAUCUCACACCAGGCAGGCCUCUAACUCUGGUAGGGGCAGAAGAGUCUCCUAGCAAGACCAGCAGGGGUCUGGACUAGUGAGGAGUGCUUUUUGUACUAUUUUGCAGGUUGUUCUGACACUCUCCCGGGCGCACUCAUUGUAAGUCAAUGGAAGAGAGACAACUCAUACCGCAGAAACCGUUAUGUGGAGGGCUAGAGUAUCCCAGCAUCCAUUCUAAGGACAAGCAGAAAGACAUUGUGAUAAAGAAGUAGUUGUAUAGAGAUAUUUUAUAUUCUGUGUAAACAUCGAGGUCACAGACAUAGGAAUAUAUCUACUAGAGACUUUCAACUACAUUCACUACAUAACAUCUGUAAUAUUCAAGGUGGUCCUUGUCCUGACUUUAGAACACACACACAAACCUAUCAUACAGAGAAUUUACCCAUCCAUGUGGAAUCCCAGUUGUUAGCUCUAGCCAUAUUAACAGCAAAAGAAGGCGGCAUGUACAAAGGGUUUUUUUUUUCAAAGCAACAUUGGAUUGGAUCACCCUGAUUCAGAUCACCCUGAUCCACAAACUUUUCAAGAUUACCAAAUCUGACUUACCAGUGCUCUAAUUGGUACUACAUAUCACAGUGUAGGCUACUAGCUAUGUAAAGAACAACAGGUAGAAUAGCCAGCAUGGGGUCACUUUAAGUGUUUUUAUUUGAAGAGACAGAAAACAGCACAAUAAAACAGCACAAUAAAACAAUACAAACAUUCACUUUUUCACAGUCAGACCCCUCAUAUGACCCACAACAAAUAAAAACAAACAAGUGUACAUUAUUCACAAAUACAUUGU